CGAACUGCUUUUAACCUCCAGCUGUAAAUCCAAAUAACAGUGUCUGGCUGGGAGACUGGGGAAUGCAGUUUGUCCAGUUCUGCUGUCAUAUAAGCUCCAUAUUCAGCACAGAUUCAGCUGCAUUAUCAGUGCCUCCUCUCUGCUGUUGACAAUGAAGUGCUGCACAGUCAGGUGGGUGAGAAAGCUUUGUUUCUGGAGUGCUGAUGAACAUCUUCCAUGGAAAAGGUGAGAGGUAUUAUUCUUAAGCUGACUGAUCAUAGAAGGUAGCCUGAAAAAAGUAUUACAGGAAGAAAUACAAAAUGAGAGGAAAGAAGGUAGCUGAUAAUGUUUUAAGUUUAGAAUCACUAAAUUCACUUUACAUCUGUUUUUAAAAAGCAACUUAUUUUUCUUUCUGUCUAUACACAGUUCCAUGUUUAUUAAAAUUUGUUUCCCCUUUGUAUUUACAUUUACAAAUUACUCCAUCAGCUUUUCUCCCUCUCCAAUCCUUUCUCUCAAUCCUAAAAAUGUUAUUUUGGAACUUUCUUUGCCUUCUUUCCACUUCUCCUCCUCCUAACAUGCUAACAAGUCCUGAUGACACAUUCCUGUCAAUUGCUCAUAAUAAUGCACUAUUGAAAGUAUUAUAAUUUUACAGGAAAAAGAAUGUCAAGAGCUUUUUUGGCCAUCUUGUUGAGAUGAUGUUCAGCCAGAAAAUAGAGGACAAAAAGACUGCUCAAGGCCAUUGAAAACAUAAAAAUCGGGAAAAAAAAAUUAAAUUAGUUGACAAGAGCUGAAGAAGUUUCUGACGAGAAGGUAGGUAUUUUAGUUGUAAAAAAGAUAUGGUUGUUUUAACUUUUACUAUUUGGAAAAAAAAGAACUUUGGAAUUAGAAUAAAGUUACAGCAAGAUGCAAUAAGACGUUUAAUCAAUUCAGCAGUUCAACCUGAAAUUAAAUUUAUCCCAUGGAAACAAGCUUUUCAAAAUGUAGUUGAAGAAAAUGAAGUAGCCUUCAGCCAAUUUCAAAGCAAUUCACUAUGAAUGUGCUCCUGUGCUGUAGUGCUCCCUUGGACUCUUUAAACUGUAUUCACUGUGAAUGGCCUUGAAAUUACAAAAAUUGAUUCAGUUCAAUUCGCAUACUUAGAAAAUCCAUUCAGUCAAAACACUGUUCCAUGCUAUUUAAUAUAAUGAAAGGUUUGGGUCUGGAAUAAUGUUAUUAAAUAAUAGAGUAAGUUUGCAUUGAUUUUUUUGAACACAAAUAAGUAAAUUACACAUUUUACUGUAAAUAUGUGACUUUAUUGCCUAGUUAAUACAUUUGCAAUAAUACCUGACACAAAUUUAGUACACCACUUUGUCUUGUUCCUGAUCUUCACAUAAAGAUUAAUAUACAUUUCACUUAGGGAUCAUGUAUGGUUGAGUAUUAUGCUCCUUCAGCUCCCACUGUGGCUCUCUGUGGUAGAUUUGAAGAGUGCACCUAUGUGUAGGAGUGCAACUUCUUUGCAAAGCGGGUCUAACAUUUUUGCAUGUAUGAGACAGAACUAUGUUCUUAUGCAUCAGCUUGCUAUGGAGUUUAGGGUAAACUUGAGAUAUAUAUCUUGUUUCCUGAACACUGCAUAUACAUAUUUUUAUAUAUAUAUAAAGCAAUGUGCUUAAAGCAAGCAAGCACAAGAGGCCUCUAUAUUUAUAAGAAGUAUUGAUGGGAGAUACUGAUUAGGGAACGGGUGAACUCCUGAUCUGAAAUCCUGAUCUGAAAGCACCUUCCCUUGAGAAUUUUAAAAUAUAUCUAGAAAAAUGGUAGAAAUAUGACAUUAGCCAUUGCACGUAAUGAGGUGGGCAGACUAGAUGACCUUAUUAAGCAAUAAGAUGUGAUGAGGUGUGCAUUGUGGUCUCGUAAUGACACGCUUUAUGCCUUUAAAUGUAAGACAGUGCGUAAAGCUGUUAAGUGCUGAGGUGCAUCAUCGCUAGACAUUAUAAGACCUAGAUGCCUUCAAAUUCUCUUCCUGAAAUAUCAAUUUCUAAAGGCAAGACAUCAGCUAUUAGAAAGAAAACCAUUCCCCAGAUAAAGAAAUAACUUUUUUUUUUUUUUUUAAUGUACUGAAAGGUCACAUCAAGGGAAAUUGUCUAGACAGGGAUUACUGUUACUAUUUCUUGAUAAUGAUAGUAAAUAACAUUGUUAACAGAAAUGUGGUAAAAUGCAAAUAUUUCAUCCAUAAGGUUGAAAUUGUAAUGCAUGUGAGAGGAAGGACUGUUUGGGAAUAGGACUUCCAUCCCUCUGAAGUCCUCCUGCUGCCCUUCCUCCCAGCAGUACUACUAUCUGAAGGCAGAAAGCAUUGGAGAAGUAGUACAGAGAAGAUGAGGUCAUUUAGUGAAUGACAGAACUUGUAAGCUCAAGACACAGAAUUUUCUUGAUGAGUUUCAGGACAGUUUAUUUUUCCCAUUUCCAAAUGUUCCUCAUCCUGCUGACACAGAUCUUUGUUAGUUGCCUGAAUCAGAAAGCGUGUGAAUUCCAGAGGUGCCUAUGGAGAGUGCUGUAAUAUGGAAAUACUUCUGAGCUACUAUUGCGAGCAAGAACAGUGAUAAUCAGAAUAGUGGCAUCUUCAGUAUGUCGUACACUUCGUAAGUGUUUAACAACAAUUAUUUCCAAAAGAGAGCUUAGUCCUUAUCACAGGAAAAUCAAGGGAGAAGCAAAUGAGGUGUUGACAGAAGGGAAAUGCUUAUUUUUGCUCACUGGCCAUGGUGAAUUCCUACAGUCAGUUGAGCACUUCCAGUGGGUAGCAUCAAGGUACUUUGAGUCUUUUUAUACCUAUGGCCUUUUCUUUCCCUGAAAUCAAGGGGAAUUUAAGAUACGCAGCACUUACUUUAAUUGCUUGGUAACUUGUGUCCCAAAGGCAAGUCCCACACAGGCCCACUUGUGUGAAAAGACUUAACAAAUUAGUGUUUUUCAGAGGUUCAAGUCUAAUUAAAUUUUCAUUUACCUUAUUAUUUAAGUGGAUUUGAUAUCCCUAGGACACUUGUGGCACCUUGUACUUUUUACUGGGUGACAUUCAAAACUUUGUUAUGUUAUUAACUGAGGUAUUUUUACUUCUAACAAAAUGUUUUCAGCCACAAGGAACUGUGUUUAUUAUUAUUGUUUUUUAAAUUAUUUUCUAGAAAUAUUACUGCAUCAAGAAGGGGCAGAAAAGGUGCUCGAUUUUCUGCAGGAUUUUAGAAAGUCCAAUAUUUGACUAAAAAAACCCACAAAACCAACUUGAUAUUACUUGUUCCUUUUUCGGUAAUCAUCUCUGAACUCAGAUGCUUCUGUAUAGUUGAACUUGAUAGAAACAGAUCUAUGAAAUACACCAGUAGAGUACUGGAAACUCAUUAUUUAUUCAGGGGGCUGAUCAGUCAUACUGCAUUUGUAUUUCUUCCACACACAGUGAGUGGAUAACAUAGCCAAUCAAUCCCCAACACAUUCUGCUACUGUUAAUUCUAUUACAUACUCAAUUUUCAAUGUGAGCAUUCCCCCCAUGAUGUCACCCAAAACUUUUUAAAAUCUGUGUUAUAUUUCCUCCUUUUACCUCAUCCAUCCAAAUACCUUAUCCAAAAUUUAAAAGAGAUUAUAAUCUGGUGACUUCAUUAUGAACUCAACCUGAUCUUUCAACAGCUCUGCUGGAUCCGGUGUUGGCUGAAGCUGCUUUUUCAUCAUCCAGCUGGCUUGGUGGUUCUGAUGUUAACUUUUUCUUUAGCACUUAUGUUUUACAGCAAGCUGAUACAUAUAUUAUAUAACUAUAAUAUCAGCCAUUUCUAUUUAGCUAUGUAUAAAGCACGUAUUCUCUUGGCCUCACAGUUAGGUGAAUAAUUUCCUUCUCACCUAGAUUUAGGUAUCCUCUGAAUGUCUCGUGUAAAAGCAGCAAGGGCUAUUGGAAAACCUACCAAGAUAUUUAUGGAGGUUUGUAUAGGAAUUCUCAAAUCUGGGAGAUAAUGACUCAUAUUUAUUUCAACAAAUAUUUUAUUUAUAGAUAGUUUAUAAUUGCAGACUGAGGUUACCAAAGAAAAGGAAUAGGAGGAAAAUGCAGACACUCCUUGCUUUAACAUGAAGAGAAUAAAUGAGUCUUAGUACUGCUCAAUAACAAGAUUAGGACUUAGUGUUCCCUCAAACCCAUCAAUAUUCCAGAACCUUGCCACUUUAUCUACUUUCAAAUUAAACCCAGUAAUGAUUUCUCUAUGAUAACUCUGGUGAUAAAACUGCAGAACUAUAUAUUUAAAUGAAAACAUAAGGUUUUGGUGAAGGCUCCGCUCCAGCAUUUGAAUAAUAAUGAAGUACUUCCCUUUGCAGGGCUCAGUCAUUAGCACAUUCCACUGAGUUUAGGAGAAAGCAAUGCCCUCGUCUGGGCAUGUCCAAGGAAUAUAAGAAUUUCCAAAGCAGAAGGAGAAAGCCAGUAGUUCCGGGGAAGGAAAUUUGAAACUACCUCUUAUUGGAAGCUAUCAAUAAAAAAUGCUUGAAGAAUAGAAGGAGAGAGGAUGAAGCUGAAGCCACAUUUAAUCAACGCCCCCUCCCCCCCACCCCUAAAAAAAAAAAAAAAAAAGUUGGGGGCUUAAAAAGGAGCAGAAGCUGGCAAAUUCAGACUUCUGUGAGGCAAGUUAAGGACAUAGGAUUUGCAUAGAAUGAGACUGACAAGGCCAUGAAGCAUCUAAUCAGCUUGUCAGCUGCAUCCUGCAGGGUAAGAGAAACCUUUGGAGCUUAUCUAAGCUGUAGAUAUGUGCGUGCUUCUGUUUUCACUUCCACUCAUCUGUUUCUAAAGCUUCUGCAAAUUUGUUAUUUGUAUUUGGUAAAUGCAUUAUUCAUUUUUCUUUCAUCUUAACCUAGCCUUUGCUAAAGGUGGUCUUAGUAUAAUUGGAAAAUUCAAAGGCAUUUCAUUCCUCGGAGUGGAAAUCCUUAAAACUAGAGUAAUAGACUGACUCAGGAUAUCCAGCAUUCAGAUGAUAUUUCAGAGAUUACUUAGAGUAUAAGAGAGUGCAUCUCUGUACAGAAAAGAGUAGGUAAUUCAGCUGUUGAUGCACAAGAAAUGUUUUUGAGGACUAGUGUUAUUUUGUAAAGCUUGUCAGCUCACAGUACAACAGCGGUCAGAAUGCCUUAACCAUGUGGAAUCAAAGGAAGUAUGAAACAAAAUUAAUUCAGGAAAUGUAAUGUCAGUUACAAGGCCAAGUCUUCCAUAUAUAUGAAAGCACCAAGCAAAAAGGUUGAGUGCAUCACACCAUACUCACAGCACCUUUGUGGCUCUCUCUUUUCAGUUGCUACGACAAAAGAUUUUCUCCAAAAUAUACAGGAUGCCAUGGAGACUGACUGAAAAAAAGCUCUUAAUCCCUGCUUUGCUGGUGCUGACAGGAGAAUAGAUCUCUAGACACAUAGCAUAUUUGGUAAGCAGGAAGCUGGAGACUGAGGUGGUCAAAAGGGUGAAAACUUGCCUGUCUGUGGCAGUCCGGCUUUUCCUCAUAACUAUAUCACAGGAUAUUAAUUUGCCAAACAGGCUAUAAUCCAGCUACAAAAAUCUGGGCUUUGGGGAUUGCUAGUCAUGAAGCACAUGACUUUACAGAAAAGCUGGUGAAUGGUUUUAUGCCAGGAACGGUGCAAAAUAAACUCACUUAGCAACCUGAGAGAAUAUUUACAGUCUACAAAUUUAACUACACAGAUGUAGAGGAAGGUGAGCCCUCCAUCUUCUGUAAUUUGAGACGACUCAAAGAAUGCCUCUUGGAGAGAAUUCCAUUUUAAUUUUUUCCCUGUUUUUUACUUAAUACACUUCUAAUGCCGUACACUUGUGUUGUUCUUACUUGAACAUCAACGAUUUUUAUGUUGGAGUUGUAUGAUAAACUUGCAUUUGAUUAACAUCGAGUUAUGCAGGUCACAGAUCCAUAAUCCAAAACUUACAGCAAUCUUGGCUCAGACAGAUUUAUUAGCUAAAGUGCAGUGUCCCACCUAUUGCUUUUAUUUCUACUUGCUACCAUUCUGGAGUGGUGAAUUUUGGAGACAUCACAUUAUUUUUCUGUGGAAAUGUAUAUGUUUCUAUUUCAGGAAUUGCUAAUCAGACAAGGAAGGGAAAUUCUCCUUAACAAGUGUCAGGCCCAGUGGAGCUUCUGCUGUGCAUGAUCCAAACUAACUCCAGGAAGAGCAUCUGUCCUUGCUCUCUUCCUGUAGGGAUGAGGAGGCUCCUGUGCUGGGGCCAGCCCUGGUAAGAAAAAGGGAGGAUGUUGCUGGCAUCCUAAGUAGUGGUCUCAUCAAUGCUACAGUGCACUCAGCAGGACCCAAACUGAUGUCUGAUGAUGUCUGUGCUUUGUCGGUGUCCUAAAUGAUUCAGGGGACACUGCACUAUUGUGUCACUCAAGCUUGUUCAUAAUUUAGGAUAACUUGGUUCCUACAAUCACAGCAAUAGAGACACAAUUGAAUUAAUCUAUUUAUGCUGCAUAACUUGGCACCUCUGAAACUGUUGCUGAAUGAUUUCGUAUUCCUUGUAGAGAUCCAAUAAAAUCUGUAGAAAAGAGCAAUAAACACUAGCAACAGAUCAUUUCAGUUUUAGUGUAGUAUAUUUCUUUGUGACUGUAAGAAGGAUAACGUGCAUGAAAAAAAUAAAUGACCCUUCUCCUUGACUGCGAAGUGUUGCUGAUUUUUCUUACUGUCCUUCUAAGUAAGAAACUUCAGUUUCUCUUCCAGGAGGGCUAAAUUGAUGGUAAUGUUGACAGACAAAAAGAAAAUCAAUUACAUUUUCAACACAGAUAUUAAUUUAGAGGUGGUCUGUGGACUAAUGUUACAAGGAAUUUUACUUUAAAAUUACAUUAUGACUGACUAACAUUAAUCUGUUUCAUUUGUAAGGUAUGCAUACUAAAUAACUGAUAUAAAUAGUUGUUCCUAUUGAAAAAACACUCAACUACCAAUAAAAUUCAAGUAUAAAACCGAUGAGACAGCUUUUUAGGCACCACCCCAAUUACUCCAGGAGUUCACAAAGCAACAUCUGCAGUCAUUAAAUAGUAUCUAUUUACUGUGGAAUUUACUGAUUAGAGCAAUUAAUCUCUUAAAACAUUUGCUUUGACUCCCUUAGAGCACACAUCUCUCUCAGGCUAUUGAAGCAUUUCUCUGGCUGCAUAUUCUAAGUCAAGAAGAUACCCACUGAUUCAGUAGACUUUGGAUUAGUUCCUUGGCUGUUGUUCAAUACAGCAUGGAAAACUUUUCCCUAUCUGUCAUGUGCUAAGUAUGGAAUACGAUCACACAAUCUCUAUGCAGUGUUCAUACUGCUUCUUACAUCUUGAUAGAAUCCAGAGUAACAGACAGCUCAGCUGUGCUACAUAAUGGAAAAGAAUGAAUAAAACAAGUAGAUCAGGGUCUGUACAAUAUAAUGCAGAAGUACCAUUGCAAGGAGCCAGCCAAUGUUACAAAUCCUGUUUCAGUGCUGGGCUUGCAAGACUCAGGCUAUUCUCCAGAAUUCUUGAUUGUGAACUUUAACUCAUGCACAGAUAAAACUUGGAUCCAUUGAGCCUAUUACUCAAAGCUCUGUGGGAAAGUAGGUGUACAUCUGGGUCUGUUCCAGCCCUGGAAGCAGUACAGCUGUAUUAACAAUGUGCUUCGUGUAUCACUAAAUGCUCUGCUGGACUUGAUGUUUUGUAUCCCUAGCACGGAUGAUCAACAGAGCACAUUACCUGCUUAAGGAUAAAUGAGAGUUGGCUGCAUUUGCCAAAUGUGAAUCAGUGUUUCUGUUAGAUGUAGUGUGUAAACUUGAAGUUAUAUACAGUUCUUUUAGACCACCAGUUCCAUAGGAUUCUUAUUAUCUUUUUGAUUGUUAAUAAUAAUAAAAAAAAGAAUGUUGGCGAGAAAAACAACUGUGGGCUAAUCACAUAUCAAAAAAUGUUAUUAAAAAUAAAUUAUAUCUCAAAGUUUUUAAUAGGCUUUUGCUGUAAUAUAAUUGCAUACUAAAAACAAAUUGAAAAUUGGUAUUUUAUCACAGAAUCAUAGAAUAUCUUGGGUUGGAAAGAACCUUAAAGUCUACCUAGUUCCAACAUCUGCUUUGGGCAUGGCUGCCACCCCCCAGCUCAGAUGCCCAGGCCCCAUCUAACUUGGUUUCCAAUACCUCCAGGGAUGGGGCACUCACAAUUUCUCUGGGCAGUUGUGCCAGUGCCUCACCACCCUCUGAGAAAAAAGAAAUCCUGAUGUGUAAUCUAAAUCUCCUACCUUUUAGUUUGAAAACAUUACCCCAAGUGAUGAUUAAAGUAUUGUAUUAAAUGCUUUCUUACAUUGCUAUAAGAGGGCCUGAACCUUGGAGAUUAAAGGGAAGAAAAAGAAAAAGCCAGUGUAAGAUGUAGUAAGUAAGAAUAAGAGUAAAUAUAUGAAAUGUAUUGGAGCAGGUCCGGAGGAGGACCAUGAAGAUGAUCAGAGGGCUGGAACAUCUCCCACAUGAGGACAGCCUGAGAGAGCUGGGGUGCUUCAGUAUGGAGAAGGCUCUGAGGAGACCUUAUAGUGGCCUUCCAGUACCUGAAGUAUGCUUACAGGAAAGCUGGGGAGGGACUUUUUGUAAGAGCUACAGGAUGAGGGGAAAUGGUUUUAAACUGAAAGAGGGUAGAUUUAGAUUAGAUAUUAUGAAGAAAUUCUUAACUGUGAGGGUGGUGAGACACUGGAACAGGUUGCCCAGUGAGGUUGUGAAUGACCCUUCCCUGGACGCAUUCAAGGCCAGGCUGGAUGGGGCUGUGAACAACCUGGUGUAGAGGGACAUAUCCCUGCCUACAGCAGGGGGAUUGGAACUAGGUGAUCUUAAAGGUCCCUUCCAACCCAAACCAUUCUAUGAUUCAUUCUAUGAUUCUAUUCUAUGAAAUUAAUUAGUUAAUAAUAAUAGUUCUGUAUUGUAAUUGAAAGCCUUAAAAAAAAGUAUAUUCUUACAUAUGAUCAAAGUAUAUCACAAAGAAACAGAAAAAAAAAAAAGCUAAAGAAAGGUCAAUGUCAGUUGAAGUUAUUCAGAACAGUAUAUCAGUGGAUAUAUAUAUCAUGGAUCCAUUUAAUCAUGUUGAUCUGUUGAACUGCAGGUAUGCAGAUUCAAAUAAGAUAAUUCUGAGAUUCAGAAUUAUAUUUACAGUUCAUUUUAAAAUGCUGGCCCAAGGAAAAUUAUUGUUGUCUGGCAAAGUAUCUCUUAGUCUGUUAUUCUGCUUUGUACAAAUGUAUUUAAAACAAAUGUAUGUAUGUCGAAGGACAUUUGAAAGACAGGGAUUUUUAGUAGAAAUUUUGUGUGAGUCUUCUGAAUCUACUCAGAAAUUUAAAAUAUCAGGAGCUUUACAGGAUUUACCUUCCCAAGGAUUGACAAACAGGCUGAUUCGGUAAGAUGAAACAGUAAUUAAGUACUUUCAUAUAUUCAGUUCCAGACGGGUUAGUAACACAUUCCAAGCUGAUAUGAAUGGCACAAUUUGUCCUCUGGAAUUGCAUCUUUCUCUCCACUAAGAAUGAAGUGAAGGCCAGAGAGGUGAAGCUCCAUUCCUAUAACCAGGCUUGCACAUCUUUACACUCUGUAAGUCUGGCUCAGCUACAGAUACUUAUGCACACGAAUAACCUUUUCACAUCAAUAUCCUCCUGAAGACCACAGAGUAACAGUUAACUGAAGAAAAGAAUGUGUAUACAUCUCUAGGGUCAUACCUCAUUCUGUGUCUCUAUUUUUGAAUAUGUUUCCAAUUCAGAGGUCACUGUUAAAAAUUCUUGCACAUCAUAAGGCUUAUGUUCAGGAAAGAGGGUGUCAUCAAUGACUGUGUAUCUCAGGGCAUUAUGUCCUUUCUAAGGAAACAGAAAACUGUGGUGAGUAGCAGCGAAGAAAUUGUCUAGUAUAAAACUGAAACUGAAAUUUAUUUUCAAAGUGGAGAAAAGGGGGUGCCAAGAAGGAACACUUGCCUGAUCCAAACACACUGGCAUCUACUUUGGUGUUUUUAGUUCAGACUGUGAAUCCAAAAUAUAAUCCUGUUUUCAUUGACAGUGAAGAUCUUAACCAGCAUAGAUAUUGGCUUGGAUUGCCCAACCAAAAUCCCAGGAGUUGCUCAUUAAUUCAGCAAGCCACAUUUCCUGUAAGAGAGAAUUACCUGAAGAUAGAUUGACAAUGGUGAUCUGUUUCAGUCUCUUUCAUUACUAGAUGCUUUAGCUAUUGUUUUUCCCUGGGACAAUAGUUUUUAUUACUGCUUAUCCAUAUUUCCAGAAAUAUAGCAAAUCAUGUGCAUCUUGAAAUAAAAUGGAAGCAUGAAAAUGAUACUAAAAAUCAUUCAAAAGUCAUUGAAAAUAAAAUAUUUGUUUGUUUCAGACUUAGAAAAUAUACAGCCAGACAAUAUAAAUUAGGUAAUUUCCUUACCUGUUUCACUCUAACCUAGACAGGUUCAACAAGUUCAGAAACACUGGUGAAAAGGCAAGAUAAGAGGUAGGUAGUCUGGGCUAGCUUGUGUAUGUAUAUUCAUGAGGUGGGAUGACUGUCAGUGAGAUAUUGGUGGGAGUACUGGGUCACUUGCCUGGGUUUUGGAAUGAAAUAUCCAAAGAAAAACCAUCUUGUGUGAUCUUGAAAAUCAAUUCAUUAACAGGAAAGCUGUGUCACAUGGAGUAGUGCAUAUUAUUUCUAUUUGUAAAUAUUUUCAACAUGUGAAAAUGACAAAGAAGGCCACACAAAUACUGUAAAAAAAGAUAGAAAUAACAGAUCCAGUACUUAUUUAGGAAAGUAAACAAAACAAAACAAAUAAACAUUUCUUUUCUCUUUUGUUUGGUGACACUCCGGCUGCAAAAAUUAGAGUUAUGGCUCUUCUAACUUCCCAGUACAAAAGAAAUACUGUUCUUUGUUCUGUCCUAAUGCCUAGGUUUUCAUGGGUUGGGUUUUCAUGGGUUGGGUUUUCAUGACUCAUUUCUCCUUUACUGCAUCUGGGUGCUGGUACCUGGAGAAAUGAAUAAGAAUGGGUAGAACAUACCCGUCUUGGUUAUCCUGCAAAUCUGAAAGUGUUUUGAUAUUCUGGUCCACACUGAUGGCAUGAGUAGUUUUUCUCUUUUAUCUCUGUCAAGAAUUUUUAGAUUUGAGAUAUCUGCUUUACAAUUCAGGUGGAGCAUGAGAGAGAACCUGGGCUGAAGUUAAAUCUGUCACAUCCAGAACACAGCAUGAAUAAUUUUCCUCUGAUUUACAGUUUGGUGUAACUUGUUAUGAAGAUGUCAGUAGUUUGUCUUUUUCUCCUUUUAAAGUGGUGACACAGUGAAUGACCAGAACAUGCUCUCUGCAUUGAUUAGUAGUAGAAGCUUUAGCAUGACUAGCUCUAAACAGACAUUUGAAAGAUGAGAGUGAAGAAUUUUUUAAAAUGGCACAGUGUGAAAAUUUCACUUGUAGGGUCUUUAUAUGGAGCAAAGAGGUUAUCCACCUAAGGACAAAUAUAAAGUGCAAUGAAAGCUCAAUUUAAAAGCAAGACACCUGCAGCUUGCAGCUCAAUAAACUCUUUUUUUUUCUUUUUUUCUUUUUUUUUUGGGGGGGGGGAGGAAAAUUAAUAGUGAAAGAUUGAGACUAAUUUUCAUGUUUUUAACUUCAAUACUCAAGUAUUAUCUGUUCAUCCAAUGUUUUGCUGCAACCUGUGGUUACUGUGUCUACCAUCCACACUAGACGAUGGGAAGAGGACCUGCACAAUAGGAAAUGUUCUUGCUUAACCCCAGGCAACAGCCCUAACUGAGCAUGAUAAUUCAAAAGAAGGAUUGAUCAAAAUGGGAAACUGCAGACCUCUGGUGACAUUGCAAAUGAGGUGAAGGAAACAGCACAAUUAUUUGUGUAGAUAUGGUGGCAUGGCAUCCCCCUGGAAUUCAGGCUGAGACAGGGAGACUUGGGCAACUCCUAGAAGAGACCAGUAAAGCCAGUUGCAGAACAAACUCUGUCUUCCUUUGUAUCUCAUAUUUUUCACCUGAUUUUAAAUAUGCUUUUCUCUCCACUCCUGCUGUAACGGUAAGCAGGAAUUUAUUCUUAGUUCCUAAAACAGAAGCAGGAAAGCAGUGUUAAUAAUUACUUUUACAAAUCUGUAAUGAGAUAAAAAAAACAAGUGCCUUAACCUAGGUAGAGAAGAAUUAUUUGUGGGGCUUUAGCUUUCUUUCAAUUAAGAACAAAAAUCAGAAGGAAUUCCAGUUAGAAAAAAAUGAACUUAAAAUUUUACUACGAUUGAGAAGACUCAAUAUCACAACAGUAAUACUCAGAUUGCCCAGCCUAGUGUGAAUACAGAAACAUGGGAAUAUAGUUUAUGUCUCAGCUGGAAUCAGCUUGCUCAUAUCUAUGAUACUCAAAAUUGUAUGAACUAUAUGAACAUCACUGUUUUGCUUGAUUCCUGUAAGCACAUCAUGCAACUGAGUUCUGGUGAGGAGGAAGCAAUGCUAUUUGCCUUUAUAUUAUGUGAUUUGGGUGGGAGGGCUGUGUUGUUUCUGUUGUUUUUUCUUGGCAUUUGUGUUGAUAUAAUAUAUAUUCAUCAUUUAUAAUAUGCCAGUAAAAAUCUGUUAAAGAUGCUGUCGUUGAGUUACUCAAGUACAAAAAGCUUGCAGAAAUAGUAUUCUCCAAGUUUACUGUAAUUUUCAAGAAGCUUAUAAAAUGUAUAUACAUUUGAAGGGUUAGUUGAGAAAUUUCCCACUAGUCAUUGCUGCUAUAGUUAUGUUGUAUGAACAAAAGGCAACAUGUUUACUGUCUUUGUUUUGCUUUUUCAGGCUCUGUAAUCUGCAGUGAACCAUGCACUGAAUUUCUGCCUCUGCAGUAUGAGACUGAGAGGAAGAAUGCAUGGAGUGAUACCCCAGAUGCAGUGUGGGAGUGUUUGCUGAGCUACACCAGACUACACCAGAAAGAGAGGAAAAUUCUCUUUACACUGGAUAACUUAAAACUGCACUGAUUCCAAGAAACUGCAUUGACUCCAAGAACUGAUGAAGGAACUUGACAAGUAUCAUGUAAACGUCUCCUGGCACAGAGAUAUGACUUGGCCUAAGAGAUACCCUUCAUGACUGUUGUCUAAUACCAACAUGUUUUAAAUGGCAGCCUUAUGUCUAGCAUUGCUUUUGGCCUUUCUCCUCCUCACAUCCUCAUAGCCUUAGCAAUGUCUAGCUGUGGGUAUUCCUCCAACCCCAUAUCAUCCACUCUUUAAAUUGAAUUGGAAGAUUUGGACGCUUUUCUUUCAUUAAAAUGUAAAACAAACAAAAGAAAAAAAUUGAAACAACAACAACAAAACAAACAAACAAACAAAAAAACCAACCCACAAACAAAACCAAAACAAAACAGAACACAGGUUGAACUAUGACAGCACACACGUCAGUGCAACCCAGGCUCAGGUCUUUCUGGCAGAUACCUGGCAAGGAGUGCGCAAGUAUGACAAUGGUGCAGUGGUAUUCUGCUGUAACACCAUCCUGCCCUUGUGCUGUGCUCUGUAAGGGAUGUAGGCUUUGUGACUGCUUGGCUCAGUGCACAGACAGUGUUUCAUGAUCUUGAAAGUUUUACCAAAUUAACAAUCUUUACUGAAGCAUAGAUGUAGCGGAGCCUCAUCCAACACUAUGAAUAGGAUAAACAUGCUGGGUUACAUUCAUUUUGCACUUCAUAUUUGUAUAUAAAUCUAAAAUAACUCUGUAAAAACAUGAAAAGUAAGUUUGCACAGUGAAGGCAAAAGGAUGCACUGGUCAGGAUGCGCUCACUUUUUAGGCUUUCAGAUGAGGUAUCUUAAAUAGGAGCUUAAUUCCUCCAGGUGCUCUUCUCAAAGGAAAUACAGAUGUCUUCCACAUAAAGGAUCAGCUUUGUAUAGAAAAGGUCACCGAAGUUACUCCAAUUAUGUUUUCUAAGAAUUAUGGUUUAUCUGUCAUUUGCUACAAAUUGUCUCAUUGUCUUCCUGCCUCUGAACACCUCAACUGCUGAAUUUCUUAAAAAAAUAAAUAAAUAAAAUGAAAUUGCACCCAGAGUUAUUUUCUGGUCCUUUUAUAAAAGACUGAAUGGUAAACGCACAGGUUACAUUUCUGUGUUGUCAUCUUUUGGUCUGACUGUUACUCUCCUAUGAGAACUGAUCUCACUCUCUGGUUAAUAACUAACACUUGUAAGGUAUCAAAAACAUCAUUCAUUCACAUUUUUUUCUUAAAUACAGAAUUAAUUUAAUCCACAAUGAACUUUCCUCUUAUUGUAGUAGCUUUCAGUUUUUGUGUAUAUUUUAUACUCCUCAAAUGCCUUAAUAAAAAAUUUUGGUUUGAGCUAGUCAAACAGAUGUCAUAGCAGAAAUAAGCCAUACUGUUUUAUGACCACACAAUGACCUUGACUUUGCCAAUAAACUACUGGCGUGUGAAGGGUAUUGUUUCCUUGUUGGAUAUUGGACCUCUCCUGAAAAUAGGAUAGGUUUGAUUAAUUCAGGUCAAAUUUAUUCUGAGUGUAACCUCACUGAAAUCAGAAGAAUUACAUUAAAGGAGCAGGUUUUGCUGCAUAAGUUUUAUAUUGGCUAGGUAUAGUCUCCCUUCCUUCACUUGGGAGGAUUUCUGAUAUUCAUUAACCUUUCAGAGCAAGUUUUAUACGAACUGCUCAUUUUUGUCUUAGAAGCUGAUUUAAUUUAAUAUUCUCUACAGCAAACAAAGCAAUAGUUCAAUUUCAGAAAAAACCUUAUGUCAUCCCCCAGUGAAUCACUUACAGGUACUUAACAGAAAGCAAUGUAAGAUAGAAAAUACAGAAAAGUGAAAAUGCCUCUGAACGUUCAAGAGGAUAACAAAUUAGUAAAGCAAGUCAGCAUGGCAGAGAUGAAAGCACAGAGAAUUAUUCAUCUAGAUGGUGAACCAGUUUUUUUUACCAACACAGUGCUAAUGACUGAAUGGAGUUGUGCUAGUGUUUCUGGUGUCUUGAGCCAGAGGCUUCACUACAAUUUAAUAAUACACCUUAGCCUUCACAAAGCUUGGCAGUAGUGUUCAAAUAAUGUGUUUAUUUCAUGCACCUGCAAAGUUUGAAUAAAUGUGAAGAUUUUUUUAUGCAAAUCUAAUACAAAAUCCCUUAGGGUUUUGGUUUUCAUAGAGAAUCAUUCAUUUAAUAACAUUUAGUGUGGAAUAAUAUACUUUUUUUCCUAAACUCUUGUACUACAAAAUAGCUAAAAUAGGUAUUUUAAAGUGCUAUAUUUUGAUUGCUUGAGACCCACUGUUAUUAGAAGUUACAAGUUUAUUAGUUGUCAAAAGAAAUGCAUAGUUUCUAAAUUUUAUAGGUUUUCUUCCAAAUCAAUCUCAACAAAUCCUGCAAAUUUAGAGUUCUUCAAAUUCAUAACUAUUUAAAACGUCUACAGGGUGCAAACUUGGAUUUGAAAUAUAUAUAUAUAUAUAUAUGUAUUUUAAGUAAAUUAGAGUCUACCUUGAAAUCAGACCAUAAAUAACAAUCAAUUCCUGACAGUUUCUGUUAUCUUCUUUGGAGUAAUCAGACUAUCUUUUAGCCUGGCUUUGAUAACAAGCAGAGGUUGUAUUAUCACACUGUACUUGUGUACCUUUGUGUCUUCCCAGUAACUUCUGAAUCAGUUAGCCAGUUUCAAGCCAAUUUGAUUGAAGGCUGAGCUUUCUAAGUUCCCUGAGCAGUUCCUGGUGGUGUUUGCCUUUUGGAGGUCAAAGGAUUUGCCACUUCCUUGGAUGAAACAAAGUGUCAGUGGUCUUGUUUCUGGUUUCCUCGCUUCCUUUCUGGUGACUCUCUUCUCUGUCCAUUUUACUGCCAUGGCCUAGGAAGUUUUUCUGGCUGAGAUGUUUUCCUCUUUGUGCAUCAGCAAUCUGCUCUAUUCAAAACAUUUUUAACACAUUGGAGAGAUUAGAACAUGAAUUCUGGACACAAAUUUCUUCUACUUCCAAGUGGGUAAGAGCUCAGUUUGUGCACGUGUGGCCCUCGCAUUGUCACUGGAAAAUACCACUGGCAAUGCCAAGCUUACACAUCUGAGCAUGGCAGUUGCCAGAGUAUGAUCGCACAAACCUCGGUGUUUGGUAUGAAUGCCAGGGGCCUAUGAUUUCAUGUUCAUGUGCAUUUUCCUCUACUAUAUUAAAGCUAAUAGCAAAAAGUAAUAGCAGCUCUAAUUAUCCCUUUAAGGCACAACUGCUGUUGUUGAGCACUGCCAAAUUCUCACCAACCUUUCAUUUUUCCUUUGUACAAACUCAUUAAAGGACUGCAAGUUCCUUCAACACUCUCUGCAAGUGUUCAGCAUGGCAUCAAAUUCUGCACCUUUAGAGUUUUGUAGAAAAGAAGUGAAGUUAUAGCUAACUAAAUGCUAACUAAUAAAUGUUGGGAAUGAAAACAAAGUAUUAGUACAUGUCAGAAAUACUUCUGGCUCUGUAAUCAGUAGGGUACUUUUUUGCUGACAUACAGUAUGUGAACAAAAGUAGUGAGUUAGUCUGCUUGAGAUAGUUAUAACCCAAAUGAAAUACCUCUUUGAAAUAAACAUCCAUUCACAAAAAAUUAUUUUGGCUAAAUAUCAGUUGACCAUUUCAAAUAUUUUGUUCAUUUCUUAAGUAACAGUAAGCAAAUCCCAUCCUUUCAAGUCAUGUUAAAUCCUUCCUUUGGAGCAUGCAUUUAAACACAGCUCUGUUUUUAUUCCAGAGGGUUUCUGUGAGGAUUUGUCAAGGUAUAUGUUAUUUCUCUCCUCUCAGUGAUAAGGAUUCAAGAGUACAACCGCUCAUUUCAAAAUGCACCAAUUGCUUACAGCCAACACCGAGAUGUUAAAAUAAUAAGGGUUUUAUUUUCCUCUUCUUUGCUUUGUGGCACAGUUUUACUGGGGGUUCAGAAAAAUGUCAUAAGGAAUUUUGCUCUUGGAAUAAAAAAAGGGGGAACAGAAAUGAAAAGCAUUCUUGUAAUUGACUAACAGCUGUGUGUGAGCAUUAGUGUUUGAAAGGGGUGUAAAGACUGGGAUGUGAGCUGUUGCUGGAUGUUAAAUAAGAAAUUGAGUUCUGUUUUUUUUUCUCUUAGCUACAGCGAUGGAGAUGUGUAAUGCUGUAAGUGUGUUCUGUUGUACCAUCCAUGACCUCAACGGAGUGGGAGAAAAUGGGUUUUUGCUGUCAGCCUCUCAUCCUGUUAAAGAUUUGAGUUUUACUCCAACAUUACUUCCAGUCUAAUUGCAUUUGACCCAGAACUCUUGCUGUGCUAGUGUCAGUCAGCAUAACUGGAGGCCUCUGUGCAGCUAGUAUUUAUAGAGUAAGUAUAAUUGCUUGCUAAGCCUUACAAGCAUCAGCCUUAUGAACUUCCUCAUUUUCAUUAAAAUAGAGGCUUCUCUACACUUGCCUGCAGAGGCAAUACAGACAAGGUAUUUAUGCGUCCUCAGUAGAAGCUGCCUGCUUUGAGAAACAAGGAAAGGGAAGUAAAAAAAGCUUGCCCUAUUAAAUGUAACUAUAAAUUAAAAAUAGAAACCUGUAGUUGGGUAUAAAAACUAGUACAUAUGUUUACUAGCAAAAUACUGAUAAAUGCAAAUUCCUAGUGUCUGUAUGCUUAUGUGUUAAAAUUGCAGAGCUAUUUGUUUAUUUGCACAUCUUAGGAAGAUGUUCAAUUUCCUGUUUCAAGGGCAAAAAUGCAAUGCUCAAAAUGUAAAGUUUUUUUAUUUAUGACAUUACAAAGCAAGAAAUCUAGAUUUUUUUUUUUUUUUUUUUUUGCCUUUUCAUAGGUGAAGAAAUGCCUUUUCUUCAAUUUGGCAUUUCAGAAUGAGACCUGCUAGUCAAUCUUCUCUAGUAUUCUAUUAACUCCUGAACCCACAUGUAGGCUAAAUUGCAAUAGGUUGGGGCAGAAUUUUAUUACUCUGAUAUUCAAUACACAAUAAAGGGAAUAUAUGACUUUCGUAUUUCUAAAGUGAUGUCUGGAGCAAGAUGCGGUAUUAGUGCUGCACAGUUCGAAGUACAUCCUCAAGCAUGCCCAGCAGCCUCAAUGUGGAAAUCAUGUACCCAUGAGAGCUGGAAGCAUAGAAUAUUUUGCAGUAGCAAGCUUUCCAAUAUGCAUGUCAAUUAUUGUACCAAUUGGAGGAAAGACAGUGUGUGGGUUACAGCACAAGGCUGUGCAUAUGCUGAUCUCAGUUCUCUUUUUCCUGCCAUUUUUCUGUAAAUAGUCAAAGCAAGCUAUUUUCGAUGUGCAAGCAGUUUCAUUUAUACAAUGCAACCUUUCCCUUCUCUCUCAUAAUAAUGUACCAAAAAGCUCUAAAACAGCUAUUCAGGAUUUACUAUCCAGGAUUACUAUAUUUACUCCUCAAGAUUCUAUAUCAUAAAAAUAAAACAUGAGCUAAUGCAACAUCUGCCUACUAGAGAUCCUCUCCUCAUGCUGUUCUAUGACUUCCCUGUGAUACACAUUCCUUGGGAUUCUCCACCUUCUCCUCAAAAAAAUCUCAUUUUCUGUGUUUAAGCUCUGAUACCUUUGAAAGGCACUCCUUCUUUGCCUGUGUGCUGAGAUGGAAGUUUUUAAUUAUUAAAGAGCAUAUAUCAAUUAUUUCUAGGUUUCUGGUAUGCCAUGCCUUUCUUUAUCUUUGAGGUUUUUCUAGCAAGGACUUUACUUCUGACCUGGUGCAACAUUGGAUGUAGCACAAGUGCACAAUCAUGUAGACACUACUGUGACCCUCAAAGGACGGAAUAGAUGAACACAGUCAUGGUGUCUCCAGAUAUAUGUUGAAGUGAUUUAGGACUCCUAUAUUUUCUCCCUGAAAUCCUAGACAGAAAAUGGUUGUGUGCAGUGCAGAGCAUUUGUGUUAUCAACAUUCCUAUGUUCUGGAUGCGUCAGACUCUCAGCACACGUGCAGGUAAGUUUUCCAUCUCAUGUCUAU
rnacentral:lncRNA from 1 species